rnacentral:rRNA from 1 species
UGGGGAAUAUUGCACAAUGGAGGGAACUCUGAUGCAGCGACGCCGCGUGAACGAAGAAGGCUUUCGAGUCGUAAAGUUCUUUUAUAUGGGAAGAUAAUGACGGUACCAUAAGAAAAAGCCCCGGCUAACUACGUGCCAGCAGCCGCGGUAAUACGUAGGGGGCUAGCGUUGUCCGGAAUCACUGGGCGUAAAGGGUUCGCAGGCGGAAAUGCAAGUCAGGUGUAAAAGGCAGUAGCUUAACUACUGUAAGCAUUUGAAACUGCAUAUCUUGAGAAGAGUAGAGGUAAGUGGAAUUUUUAGUGUAGAGGUGAAAUGCGUAGAUAUUAAAAAGAAUACCGGUGGCGAAGGCGACUUACUGGGCUAAUUCUGACGCUGAGGAACGAAAGCGUGGGUAGCAAACAGG